rnacentral:rRNA from 1 species
CGUCUAUAUACGUAUAGCAUAUCAAUAAGCGGAGGAAAAGAAACUAACUAGGAUUCCCUUAGUAACGGCGAGUGAAGCGGGAAGAGCUCAAAUUUGAAAUCUUCAAGGUUUCUACCUUGACGAAUUGUAGUUUAAAGAAGUGUUUUCUGUUGGAGUUUUGGUAAAAGUUCUUUGGAAUAGGACAUCAUAGAGGGUGAGAAUCCCGUAUUUGACCAUUAUUUCCAGCUUUGUGAUACACUUUCAAAGAGUCGGAUUGUUUGGGAAUGCAGUCCAAAAUGGGUGGUAAAUUUCAUCUAAAGCUAAAUAUUGGCGAGAGACCGAUAGCGAACAAGUACCGUGAGGGAAAGAUGAAAAGAACUUUGAAAAGAGAGUUAAACAGUACGUGAAAUUGUCAAAAGGGAAGCGUUUGACACCAGUGUUGUUUUCUCGAAGAUCAAUUAAAAUAGUCUUAAUUUUGUAGUUGCAUUGACUUUAUCAGCUUGCUGCUCUCUUUCUUGGAAUUAUUGAAUGCACUUUUCGUUUAACAAGUCAACAUCAAUUUCUUUUGUUGUAAAAGAGUCAGAUGGAAGGUGGCUUUACGUUUCGGAGAAAGUGUUUAUAGCCUUUGGCCUCUGCAAUCGGAGAGAUUGAGGUCUGCAGCGUAGAUCCUUCGGGGUUAGAUACAUUUGUGCUAAGUUAUAGCCUUUCAUAGACAACUUGUUGACUAUGAUCAGUCAUGUAGCUUACUCGCUUAUGCUAUUUUACCUACGCUUAGGAUGUUGAUGUGAUACUGCGAGCA